UCUAACAUAGUAUAGCUAUAAAUAUAUUGUUGACAUUUAAAAAUAAAGAAUAAUCAUGUGAUUCUGUCACAUUUGUCUAAAAUCCUCCACCAAUUGUGGUCCAAAAGCACCUAUUGCAGCUUUGAAUCUCAUGACUUUACUAUAAAUGGGGAAAAGGGAAACCAUGACUUAACAUUCAAAAGGUUUGAAUGCUUUUUUUUUCUUUUCUUUUAUUAUUUUUUUUACAAAGAUUCUUUGGGAAACUUUUGAAUAAGUACAAUUAUUCCAGACUUUUGCAGUAUUAUCAGAUUGUAGUAGCAGAAAUCAUUAAAUUUAAAUUUGCUUCUACGAGCUGCAGGUCAUUUGUAAUUUUGGAGCCUUGAACAAAACUUAAAAUACAGCUUUUGUUCCUUGUUCUUCUAAGAACUGAUGUAUUUUAGGACAGCAUGAGUAAUUAGAAUCUGAUAAAGGUGAACAAUGGCUGAACCAUUAGUUCUUCAGAACCUGCACAACAAAAGUCCUUUAAUCAUCUAAUGCAGGCUUUGUGUGAUCAAUGAGGGCAAAGGUUGCCUUCAGGUUUAUGGUGAUAAAGUAUUUAGAAUAAAAUAUAAUGUAAAACUAGAAUGUGCUGCAAAAUUUCAUUUAUCACCAAUUCAACUUAAAAGGUGAAACUAAUAUAUGAAACUAAUUAUAUACUAAGCCAGAAAUUUCAAAACUUUGUUUAAUAUAAUUGUGAUGAUUAUGGGGCAGCAGUAUCUCAGGAGGUAGAGCGGGUUGCCUUAUGAUUGGAGGGUCAUGGGCUUGAUUCCAGCUCCCACCAGGGGCAUUCUGCUGUUGUACCCUUGGGCAAGACACAUUACCUUCACUUGCCUGCAUUGGUUGUGGUCAGAGGAGCCGACGGCGCCAAUUGACAGCCUUGCCUCUGUCAGACCGCCCCAGGACAGCUGUGGCUACAUACGUAUGAAUAAUGGUAAGAAGAAGAAGAAGAUGUCAUGAACAGAAGUCAGAAGGACCCGUAAUGACACCAAACACUGUAAAGCACCUUUAAAAGUCUUUAUUUUAUGUGGAGUUACCAGAGGUGGGUGAGGCUGAGGCAGAGUCAGGAGGAAGCAUGGGUCAAAACCAGAGAGAUCCGUGAAUGCUACAAGGGGCAGGCAGGAGGCAGAAUACAGAGAAUUGUCCGAAGGUCGAGAAUCCAGGGGGUCAGAAGCAGAGAACAAUCCAGGCAGGGAGCAGGCACGUGGGCAGGUAGAGAUACAGGAACAAGGUCAGGAUCUAUGAUUCAGGCAGAGGUAAGGAGUGCUGGAGAAUUUCCUGGCGUGAGCUUUACAAUAAUCUGGCAGAGACUGGGUAGCUGAAUGGAUCUUUUAUAGCAGGGGAAGCAGGUGUGUGAGAUGAGUUGAGGAGUCAGGAGCAGGUGAAGAGGACGAAGCUGAUUAUAGGAACAGGUGAGAUGAAUGGAGUUGAUGGUGGUUGCCAGGGAAACAGGGCUUGUCAGGAGCUUGGUGAGGGGGCCAGGUGAGCUGAAUGAAGGCUGAAAAAUGAGAGUCAUGACAGAAGAAGAAGAAGAUAUAAUUUCUAUAGUGCCUCUCAAGAUAAAAAAUCAUGAGGCGCUUCACAAAAACAUAAAUGUAAAAAUAUAAAAAAUAAUUUAGAAAAUGGUUAAAAAUAUAUUUAAAAUGAGCAAAAGAUAGACAAUUGUGAUUAAAAAAGUGUUAAGAAUGAGAGAGAGUGAAUAGGAAAGAGAGAAAUCAGUGGAUCCUGAGGAAGGUGGAAUAGGUGGGGAGAGCAGAAUAAAGAGAGAGUGGUGAAGAAGGUCAUACAAAAGCCACUUUGAACAGGUGAGUUUUCAGCUGCUUUUUAAAGGAGACCACUGAGUCCACUGAUCUCAGGCUCAGAGAGAGAGAGAGGUCCAGAGUCUGGGGGCCACAGCAGCAAAUGAUCUGUCACCUUUGGUCUUAACCCAGCUAACAGGGAACGUUCCAAUAACUUUCGCUAACAUUCUUUAAAAGUGUUUGUAAUGUUAGCACAUAACGUUGUUAAAGUAAUGUUUUCAUUUCAUUCUUGCCCCCCCCCCCCCUCCCUAGCAUCAAUCAAAUGGACAGGUGUAUUGUUCUUUGACCAGAUGGCCUUGCCCCCCCUUCCCUAGAAUCAAUCAAAUGGACAGGUGUAUUGUUCUUUGACCAGAUGGCCUUUCCUAGGAGCUAGAUAUUUUUGUUCCUGGUGUUUUACCCCGUACCAAAAAAUUAAUGGACAUCAUUGUAAAUGGUUCUGCCGAGUGUGUAAUACCAAUUUAUGCAAACGAACAGAAACGUCGCUCAUCACAUGUCCUGAUUGUAAUCGGAUAUGCCAAAAUGUAAUGUGUUUUCAAAAUCACAAAACACCUGUUUACAGGCCUCAAGCAGACAGGGCAGUUUCUCCUUGCGAAAUGUUUAAAAAAUGCACGAGUUGUAAGCAACUUUAUUACAUUGCUACGAGUGGAAAUGGCUCACAGCACGUUUGCCCCACCACCAAAUGCACCAUUUGCAAACAGUCGGUGGUCACCGUUGAUCACCGGUGUUUUAUUCAGCUUGAAAAAAAAGAUGACGGUUUAACGGAAAAGGUUAUUUAUUAUGGCACUGAAACAUUUACGGAUCAGAACGGUGUGCAUACACCUUUUUUAAUCUGUGCAAAAUCCGAUUCAAGCGAGGUUUGGGAAAAAUAUGGUGUAGAAUGCAUUAAAGAUUUUAUUAUGCAGAUGAGGCGGCCUAAAUUCAACAAUUAUACAUUUGUUGCACACAAUGCGCGUGGAUUUGAUGCUUGUAUAAUUUUGAGAGCUAUGAGUCAAUUAAAAUUUGUUCCCAAAAAUAUUCUCAUGUAAGGUUGUAAGAUCUUAAGUUUUAACGAUCCAGAUUUUGGCUUAAGAUUUAUAGAUUCGUUAAGUUUUCUCAUGAUGAAACUAGCCAACCUCCCCGCUGCUUUGGGUUUUACAGAUAAAACUAAAGGUUAUUUUCCUCACAGAUUUUCAUCGGUUGAACAUUUGAAUUAUAUCGGCGCUUACCCUCCAGUGUCCGAUUUUGGGUUUGACCAAAUGUCUCAGGAGCAGAAAAAUAUAUUUUUAGAAUGGUACCACGAAGUGACUAAGCAUCAGCUGUUUGAUUUUAAGAAGGAAGCGAUGUUUUAUUGCAGGAACGAUGUGGAAAUUCUGCGUAAAGCAUGCAGCAUUUUCAGAGAGGAAUUUUUUAAUGAAACGGGGAUCGACCCUAUGAAAUCAGUCACCAUCGCUUCAGCUUGCAUGCGCGUGUUUAGAACAAAUUUCCUAAAACCAAACACUUUGGCCAUCCCUUGUCCGCUCGGUUAUCGCCCGCAAAAAAAAACCUUUUCAAGUUCAAGUAUCGUGUGGUUAGAAUGGGUUUCACGCCGUCAAAAUGUAGAGAUUCAACACGCUUUAAAACCUUCAGGGGAGCAUAGAGUGGGAAAGUUCUUCCUCGAUGGAUUUGCUGUGAUUUCAGGCGUUGAAAACGGAUUUGAGUUUCUGGGGUGUUUUUUCCACGGCUGUCCAAAAUGUUUCCUGCCGUCAGCCAUCUGUCCUCUGAGAAAAAUCACUUUUGGUGAAAUUUAUGACAAAACCAUCGAAAAGCUACAGACGCUGGAAACUGUGCAUCGAUUAAAAGUGAAUGUGAUUUGGGAACAUGAUUGGCAGGAGAUGGUGAAAUCAAAUCCGGACGUGAAACAGUUUGUCGAGGAAUUUGAGUCCCCACCAGCUCCUCUUUCACUGCGUGAGGCGCUGUUCGGAGGGAGAACAUGUCCCGUUCAGAUGAGGCGUACGGCUCAGAGUAGGGUUGUCACGGUAUGAAAAUUUAACCUCACGGUUAUUGUGCCCAAAAUUAUCACGGUUUUCGGUAUUAUCGCGGUAUUUUUUAAACGGUGUUGCAUUAGUUCAGAAAGCAAACUGAAAUAGUUUUGAAAAGGUUUAACAGUGUUUAUUAAACCUAAAAUAACACAAAGCCUUAGCAAAAGUUAAAGUCCCAUUAGUUGUGUGUGUGCGAAAUUUGUUCUCCGCAUUUGACCCAUCCCCUGGGGGAGCGGUGAGCUGCAGACACAGCCGCGCUCGGGAACCAUUUGCAACUUUUCACAAGUAAAGGAACAAAUAGCUUAUUUUUCUGGAACAUGUUACAGUAGUCAGUGCAGGUUUAAAUUAUACAAAUCCAAAUAUUUGAAACAUAAACAAUAUGUAAACAAAUCAAAGAAACACCACUUGUUUUCUCAUAUACUUGUUUUCUUCAUUAUCAAAAUGAAAAUCUAAAACUCCAGUCCACACUUGACUUGAGCACUGUGCAAGUCAACCUUAAAAAAAUAUGUAUUUAAAAUAAAUAGCCACUUUAAACAAAUUACUAAAAUAACUACUACACUAUGUAAUCAAAUCCAAAUGUUCAAGUAUAAAUGGCAUUGAAUAAGUAAAGAAAUCAAUGACAAGGAACUAAUUGUAUAUUUCUCUUCAUCUUCAACAAAUAAGAUGCUUCAUCCAGCAACAGGGUGUCCGUGACACGGUUUAAAUGCUAGCAGAGGGCGCUGCGGCUGCAGUAUAUAGUGACUCGUUGCAUUCUCCCUCAACCAAAAGUCUUCACGUCAUGCAUUUAAGCUAAAAUGCUAAUGUUAACUUACCUUGCACUGGCUGUAGAGACGUGGGUGAUGGUCACGCAGAUGUGCCAUUAGAUUCAAAGUGUUGCUGCCUUUUGCAGACACUUGUUUCCUGCACGUUCUGCAAACGGGAUAGCCGUCUUCUAUUAACUGUCCCUCAGCAUUUUUCAGAAAUCCAAAAUAUGCCCAUACUUCCGAUUUAGUCUUCUUUGAGGGCUGAUGGAUGUCCUGGGCGCUGCCGUCUCCUCCUUCGGCCAUUAUUUCAGCUUCAAAGUUUUGGUUGCAAACUAAAAAGUGCGUGAGCGCGCCGCGGGAACUUCAGCAGAAGCGACGGUGGCUGGUAAGGGUCACCGCGCCUAAACCGCGGCCACGGUAAACCCACCGAGAUAAUUUAGUUUUUUAAAAACUGGACGGUUAUUUUUAUUGUCAACUUUUUUACCGGGGUUUACCGCUAUAACGGUUACCGUGACAACCCUAGUUCAGAGUGAUGAAAAAAUUCACUACGUGGAUUUUACGAGUCUGUACCCUUACAUAAACGCCACGCAAAAUUAUCCCAUCGGUCAACCCAAAAUCCAUGUGAAAAUUUUCAAAGAUCCAAGUAGCUAUUUUGGUUCGAUUAAAGCGGUUGUCUCUCCGCCCAGAAAACUGUUUUUCCCUGUUCUGCCUUUUAAAACAUCCAAAGGUAAAUUAGUUUUUACCCUAUGUCGUACUUGCGCUGAGCUAAAUAAUCAUUCUAAUUCUUGUUCACACAGCCCAUCUCAGAGAGCUUUGGCAGGAGUAUGGGUGAGCGUGGAGCUCAAUUAUACGUUGGAGUCUGGUGAAAAUGAUUGAAGUCUGGGAUUUUGAGAAAAGCAGCAAAGAUGUGUUUGCAGGUUACAUUAAGAUGUUUCUGAAACCAAAACAGCAAGCCUUGGGUUUUCCUGAAGGACUGAUGAUGAAUCAAAAAGAAAAAACGUUCAGGACAGCUCCGUCAGGGGAUACGAUUAGAUUUGGCAAAGAUUCAAUGCAAUCCUGCUAAACGUGCCAUUUCAAAAUUAUGUCUUAAUUCACUUUGGCAGAAAUUUGGUCAGAGAGAUGACAUUGUACAGACCACAUUUGUUCUAAACCCUGAUGAAUUUUUUGACCUUCUGUUUUCAGGAAAAUACGAAGUUAAAUUCUUUAGCUUUGUCACUUCAGGAGCUGUUCUGGUCCAGAAUUCCUUGACAGCAGUGGCGGCUGGCCAGUAGAGGGCGAUAGGGCACCACCCUCCCAGUUUUCCCCAGUGUUUUUAAUUUUUAUUUAAAGGAGACAUAACAUGAAAAACCCACUUUUUUAUCCGUUAACACAGUGUGUUUCACAUUUUAAGUGUCUAAGUGAGCAAAAAGGCUUAUAUUAUUCACUGGAGUUGCUAUUUAGAUAUUUAAUAAUUAAGUUUUGGGCAUAUUUGUCCACCCGUUCAGUUUUUCAAAUUAUCUAUUAAAUCAGUAAUUUAUUUCGUCAGGAUAACUACCAAAUAUGGUAAUGGCCCUCGGUUAAACACAGAGCCAAUCCGCCAUUUUUUCAUCUCGCUAAGAUUUUUUGUAGUCCUAUUGGAAAAAUGCAGAAUGUCUGGUUAUUUUAGCCACACACAGCUCAAAACUGUUCCUUGUUUUAAGGAAGGGUGGUGUGGCAGUAUUUAAACCCAGGAGCUGAUGACACUACUGCUAAAAAAACACAGAAGAAAAAGUAGUGUGUGUGUGUGUGUGUGUGUGUGCGCGCGCGCGCGCGUGGUUCGUUCGUGUCUCCUGGCUAGUAAGUACCGAGGGCUUCAUCUAUCUAAAAGGAGUCAUUUCCAUCUGAAUGUGACAGCACCGGGACACAGCAGCAGAGCGAGUCCACAUCCAGAAGGCUGGAGCCGUGUUUCACUGACAGGCUGUCAGACUAACGCCCUGAUGAGCUCAGCUGGGACAAUCUGGUCUGAUGUUUAGGAACACAGAACGCUCAGAUGUUGGAGCUCACGUCACCUACUGAGGAAGGAGACCCACCAGUAAAGAGACGGUCUGGACCAGACCAAAAAUAUGGCGAUGACAUCAUGGAACUGGUCUUUGGAAAAGUUUUCCCUGAACCAACUCCGUUUCUAGAUGAGGUAGAGAAGAUCUGCAUCUCACCAACUCUCUGGUCUCAGUAUUCAGACAACGGAGGUCUCCCACUGUUAUCCAGGACCAGUUUGAAGCCCACAUACUUCCCCUCCCUCAUCAUCAGGAAACAUCAAUCCGUAUCCUGAGGACAACAGAAGACGGCAGGAGGACAGGAACUCUGAGACCUAGAUACCACAGCACCGGGACACAAAGCACCUGUGUGCACAAAGCCUGUUUAACUACUAAAACCUGUUUAUUAUAUAGUUCUACUUAUUUGCUGUGAGGUUAAUACUUAGAAAAUUUGUAUUUUAAUGUAAACAAUAAAAAAAUCAUUGAUUGUA